rnacentral:misc_RNA from 1 species
UCCCCGUUCACCGGGGCAGUCCCCUCAGAGUGCCCAGCAUAACCUGGUAGCAACAGAGGGCGAGGGUUGCGCUCGUUGCGGGACUUAACCCAACAUCUCACGACACGAGCUGACGACAGCCAUGCAGCACCUGUGUUCCCGUUCCCUUUCGGGCACACCCACCUCUCAGCGGGCUCUCGGACAUGUCAAGGGUAGGUAAGGUUGUUCGCGUUGCAUCGAAUUAAUCCACAUCAUCCACCGCUUGUGCGGGUCCCCGUCAAUUCCUUUGAGUUUUAACCUUGCGGCCGUACUCCCCAGGCGGUCAACUUCACGCGUUAGCUACGGUACCCAGAAAUCGCUUCCCGAACACCUAGUUGACAUCGUUUAGGGCGUGGACUAC